GAAAUGCGAUAAGUAAUGUGAAUUGCAGAAUUCAGUGAAUCAUCGAAUCUUUGAACGCACAUUGCGCCCCCUGGUAUUCCGGGGGGCAUGCCUGUUCGAGCGUCAUUUCACCACUCAAGCCUCGCUUGUUAUUGGGCGACGCGGUCCGCCGCGCGCCUCAAAUCGACCGGCUGGGUCUUCCGUCCCCUCAGCGUUGUGGAAACUAUUCGCUAAAGGGUGCCGCGGGAGGUCACGCCGCAAAACAACCCCAUUUCUAAGGUUGACCUCGGAUCAGGUAGGGAUACCCGCUGAACUUAAGC
rnacentral:misc_RNA from 1 species